ensembl:lncRNA
UGUGGAGGUGUGUGGUGGGGUGUGGAGGUGGUGUGGAGGUGGUGUAGUGGUGUGUGGAGGUGUGUAGUGGGGUGUGGAGGUGUGUGGUGGGGUGUGGAGGUGGUGUAGGGGUGUGUAAUGGUGUGUGGAGGUGUGUGGAGGUGGUGUAGUGGUGUGUGGAGGUGUGUGGUGGGGUGUGGAGGUGGUGUGGAGGUGGUGUAGUGGUGUGUGGAGGUGGUGUAGUGGUGUGUGGAGGUGGUGUAGUGGUGUGUGGAGGUGGUGUAGUGGUGUGUGGAGGUGUGUGGUGGUGUGUGGAGGUGUGUGGUGGGGUGUGGAGGUGGUGUGGAGGUGUGUGGAGGUGGUGUAGUGGGGUGUGGAGGUGUGUGGAGGCGUGUGGAGGUGGUGUAGUGGUGUGUGGAGGCGUGUGGAGGCGUGUGGAGGUGGUGUAGUGGUGUGUGGAGGCGUGUGGAGGUGGUGUAGUGGUGUGUGGAGGUGGUGUAGUGGGGUGUGGAGGUGGUGUAGUGGUGUGUGGAGGUGGUGUAGUGGGGUGUGGAGGUGGUGUAGUGGUGUGUGGAGGUGGGGUGUGGAGGUGUGUGGAGGUGUGUGGUGGGGUGUGGAGGUGGUGUAGUGGUGUGUGGAGGCGGUGUAGUGGUGUGUGGAGGCGUGUGGAGGUGGUGUAGUGGUGUGUGGAGGCGUGUGGAGGUGGUGUGUGGAGGUGGUGUAGUGGGGUGUGGAGGUGGUGUAGUGGUGUGUGGAGGUGUGUGAUGGGGUGUGGAGGUGGUGUGGUGUGGUGGUGGUGUGUGGAGGUGGUGUGGUGUGGUGGUGGUGUGUGGAGGUGUGUGGAGGUGGUGGUGUGUGGUGGAGGUGGUGUGUGGAGGUGUGUGAUGGGGUGUGGUGGUGUGUGGAGGUGGUGUGUGGAGGUGGUGUAGUGUGGAGGUGGUGUAGUGUGGAGGUGGUGUAGUGGGGUGUGGUGGUGUGUGGAGGUGGUGUAGUGGGGUGUGGUGGUGUAGUGGGGUGUGGGUGUGGAGGGAUAAGAUGAGAUGAGUUCUGUUCUGAUGAGAUGAGAUCUGUUCAGAUGAGAUGAAAUGAGUGGGGAGCGGACAGAUGCAUCUCCUGCAGGGACAUCUCUCUGGAAAAAAUAAAUCAAUUGGCAAAUGUUACACAAACAACUCAG